ensembl:lncRNA
CCCCCGCAGUUCCGCUCCGCCGCCGCCGCCCCCCCCCCACUUCCGUCCCCAUCUUCGGCCACCUCCUGCCCUACCUGCAGCUACAGGCCCCCCAUCUGUACCCGUACCCCAUGGGCGCUUCGGUGCCGCAGGGGAAGUUCCGACCCGCCAAAGGUUCUCUGCCCCCCCGCUCGGAGGCGCCCCCCCUUCUUCCGGCCGCCCCCCCCCGCCGCCCCAUUGGUGGCUGCCCCCUAUUCGUCCUAUGUGCCCUAUGGACCCCCCCUGGUGCCCCCCGUGGGGCAUUACCCCCCCCAGCCGGUGUUCGCCCCGAUGCUGCCGAGCGGGCCGCGGUUGCUGCCGUCGGGCGGCCCCUCCCCCAUCGCUUCGUCCUCCGCCCCCCCUUACGCCGGCGACGGCCCCGCGGCCCCCGCCCUCUACGGUGAGUCGGCUCCUUUCCGUCGCGACGUGUCGCGAUAUGUCGCGAUACGGCGCCUUUAUGUCGCGAUAUAUUGCCAUGUGGCACCUUUAUGUCGCGAUAUAUCGCCAUGUGGCACCUUUAUGUCGCAAUAUGUCCCGAUAUAUCGCCAUGUGGCACCUUUAUGUCACGAUAUAUCGUGAUAUGUCGCCAUAGGGCACCUCGUGUCGCGAUAUACUGCCUUACGGCACGAUACGGUGCGAUACGGCACCUUUAUGUCGCGAUGCGUCGCGAUAUGUCACGAUAUAUCGCCAUGUGGCACCUUUAUGUCGCAAUAUAUCACGAUACGGUGCGAUAUGGCACCUUUAUGUCGCGAUAUACUGCUUUACGGCGCGAUACGGUGCAAUACGGCACCUUUAUGUCGCGAUGCGUCGCGAUACGUCGCGAUAUAUCGCCAUGUGGCACCUUUAUGUCGCGAUAUGUCGCGAUAUGUCGCCAUAGGGCACCUCAUGGCGCGAUAUACUGCGUUCUGUCACGAUAUGGUGCGAUAUGGCACCUUUAUGUCGCGAUAUGUCCCGAUAUAUCGCCAUAGUGCGCCUUUCCGUCGCGACGUGUCGCGAUAUAUCCUCGUAUGGCGCCUCAUGUCGCGAUAUACUGCCUUCUGUCACGAUACGGUGCGAUAUGGCACCUUUAUGUCAUGAUAUGUCGCGAUAUAUCGCCAUGUGGCACCUUUAUGUCACGAUAUGUCGUGAUAUGUCGCCAUAGGGCACCUCGUGUCGCGAUAUACUGCCUUACGGCGCGAUACGGUGCGAUACGGCACCUUUAUGUCGCGAUGCGUCGCGAUACGUCACGAUAUAUCGCCAUGUGGCACCUUUAUGUCGCAAUAUAUCACGAUACGGUGCGAUAUGGCACCUUUAUGUCGCGAUAUACUGCUUUACAGCGCGAUACGGUGCGAUACGGCACCUUUAUGUCGCGAUAUGUCGCGAUAUAUCGCCAUGUGGCACCUUUAUGUCGCGAUAUUCUGCUUUACGGCGCGAUACGACGCCUUUAUGUCGCAAUAUGUCGCCAUGUGGCACCUUUAUGUCACGAUAUAUCGCCAUGUGGCACCUUAUGUCGCGAUAUACUGCCUUAUGUCGCAAUGUGGUGCGAUAUGGAGCGAUAUGGAGCGAUAUAUCACCAUAUGGCAUCUUAUAUCACGAUAUACUGAUCCUAUCAUGGCCCUAUCGUGGCAUACAACCCUAUUGUGACCCUAUAAUGGCCCUACUGCGACCCUAUUGUGGCCCUAUCGCGACAUAUGGCCCUGUCGUGGCCCUAUCGUGACCCUAUCGCGGCCCUAUCACAACAUAUGGCCCUAUUGGGAUAUCACCAUGACCCUCUUGCGGCCCUAUCGCGACAUAUGACCCUAUCGUGACCCUAUUGUGGCCCUAUUGUGACCUUAUCGUGGCCCUAUCGCGACAUAUGGCCCUAUCACGAUAUCACCAUGACCCUAUCGCAGCCCUAUCACGACAUACGACCCUAUCGUGACCCUAUCACGGCCCUAUCACGACAUAUGGCCCUAUCGGGAUAUCACCAUGACCCUAUCGCAGCCCUAUCGCGACAUAUGACCCUAUCGUGACCCUAUUGUGGCCCUAUUGCGGCCCUAUCGUGGCCCUAUCGUGACAUAUGGCCCUAUCGCGAUAUCAUCGUGAUCCUAUCAUGACAUAUGACCCUAUUGUGACCCUAUUGUGGCCCUAUUGCGACCCUAUCAUGGCCCUAUCGUGACAUAUGGCUCUAUUGCGAUAUCACCAUGGCCCUAUUGUGACCCUAUCGCGACCCUAUCGUGACAUAUGGCCCUAUCGGGAUAUCAUCAUGACCCUAUCACGACAUACGACCCUAUUGUGGCCCUAUCGCGGCCCUAUCGCGACAUACGACCCUAUCAUGACCCUAUCGUGGCCUUAUCGCGGCCCUAUCGUGACAUACGACCCUAUCAUGACCCUAUUGUGGCCUUAUCGCGACCCUAUCGCGAUAUACAACCCUAUCAUGACCCUAUCGUGGCCCUAUCGUGACAUAUGGCUCUAUCGCAAUAUCACUGUGGCCCUAUCAUGACAUAAGACCCUAUCGUGACAUAUGACCCUAUAGUGACCCUAUUGUGGUCCUAUCGUGACCCUAUCGUGCCCCUAUUACGACAUACGACCCUAUCGUGACCCUAUCGCGACAUAUGACCCUAUCGUGACCCUAUCGCGACGCUAUCGUGACCCUAUCGCGACAUACAACCCUAUCGUGACCCUAUCGCGACACUAUCGUGACCCUAUUGCGACAUACGACCCUAUCGUGGCCCUAUCGCGACACUAUCGUGACCCUAUCGCGAUAUAUGACCUUAUCAUGACCCUAUCGCGACCCUAUCGCGACAUACGACCCUAUCGUGACCCUAUCGUGACGCUAUCGUGACCCUAUCGCGAUAUAUGACCCUAUCGUGACCCUAUCGUGAUAUGCCCCCCCCCCCCAGCCCCACUGCAGCCCUUCCCGCCCCACGCCGCCGCCGCCGCCGCCGCCCCAUUGGCUCCCGCCGCCCCCCCCAGCGGCAGCCAGGCUCCGCCCCACGGCGCCCCAAGCCCCGCCCAGCCCCCCGCGGGUUUCCACGUGGCCACGCCCCCAGGGGGAGGGGCCCAAUCACCUCCGGGCUCUUUGGCUCCACCCACCGGAGCUCCGCCCCCUCCGGCCCCGCCCCCUCCGGCCGCGGCUCCGCCCACCGCCAUAUAUGGACUGCAGCAGCCCCUCCCCCACGGCUAUGGGGGCGUCGCCCAUGUGGGGCAGCCCCACGUCCCCCCCCCCCACGGAGCCGCCCCCCCCCCCCCGUGAUGCUGCUGCCUCCUCCGGGUCCCCCCCCCCCCCCCCCCCCCCCCCCCCUCCUCCUCCUCCUCCUCCUCCUCCUCCUCCCCCCCCCCCCCCCC